rnacentral:misc_RNA from 1 species
GACAGAGGGGGCAAGCGUUGCUCGGAAUCACUGGGCGUAAAGGGCGCGUAGGCGGGUUCGCAAGUCGGUCGUGAAAUGCUCGGGCUCAACUCGAGAGGGCCGGCCGAGACUGCGGAUCUUGAGGGGGGCAGAGGAGCCUGGAAUUCCCGGUGUAGCGGUGAAAUGUGUAGAGAUCGGGAGGAACACCGGUGGCGAAGGCGGGGCUCUGGGCCCACCCUGACGCUGAGGCGCGAAAGCGUGGGGAGCAAACGGG